rnacentral:rRNA from 1 species
AUUGAACGCUGGCGGCAGGCCUAACACAUGCAAGUCGAGCGGAUGACGGGAGCUUGCUCCUUGAUUCAGCGGCGGACGGGUGAGUAAUGCCUAGGAAUCUGCCUGGUAGUGGGGGACAACGUUUCGAAAGGAACGCUAAUACCGCAUACGUCCUACGGGAGAAAGCAGGGGACCUUCGGGCCUUGCGCUAUCAGAUGAGCCUAGGUCGGAUUAGCUAGUAGGUGGGGGAAUGGCUCACCAAGGCGACGAUCCGUAACUGGUCUGAGAGGAUGAUCAGUCACACUGGAACUGAGACACGGUCCAGACUCCUACGGGAGGCAGCAGUGGGGAAUAUUGGACAAUGGGCGAAAGCCUGAUCCAGCCAUGCCGCGUGUGUGAAGAAGGUCUUCGGAUUGUAAAGCACUUUAAGUUGGGAGGAAGAGCAGUAAGCUAAUACCUUGCUGUUUUGACGUUACCGACAGAAUAAGCACCGGCUAACUCUGUGCCAGCAGCCGCGGUAACAC